UUGAAAGGGAAACGAUUGAAGUCAGUCGUACCAGCGGGAAAUCAACCUUUCGAGUGGGGUUUUGGAGUUUUUUGAAGAGUGUCAAAACCUUUGAGAUUUCAAAAUAUUCGCUCUUUUGGUGUACUUUCUCGUGGGUAGGUUAACAUCGAUUUUGAUCAUCAUAAAAAGAUUGGAGGAAUGUAGCUUCGACCUUGUAUUGAAGUAUUAUAGCCUUUGGUAAAUGUGAUGAUUAGGAUCGAGGAUUGCAACGAAUACCCUUUUGGGCUAUCCGCCUGAUCUCUGAUACGUGGCCUUGGCAUCGAAAGCUUGCUUAUGGUAUUAAGGUAUUACGGUCAAAAGGUUAGAACGGAUUACAUUCGUUAAGGAUGUUGACGUA
rnacentral:rRNA from 1 species